rnacentral:misc_RNA from 1 species
UCUCCGUUGGUGAACCUGCGGAAGGAUCAUUAUUGUAUAACCGAGGUGCGAGGGCUGUCGCUGACCCGAAAGGUCGUGCACGCCCGAGUGCCCUCACACACAUCCAUCUCACCCCUAUGUGCACCACCGCGUGGGUCCCCCUUUGGCUUGUUCGGAGGGGGGCUUACGUCUUCACACAAACUUUGUAUGCAGUGUAGAAUGUAUUUUUGUUUUUGCGAUCACGCAAUCAAUACAACUUUCAACAACGGAUCUCUUGGCUCUC